GACGAACGCUGGCGGCGUGCUUAACACAUGCAAGUCGAGCGGUAAGGCCCUUUCGGGGGUACACGAGCGGCGAACGGGUGAUUAACACGUGGGUGACCUGCCCUCAGCUCUGGGAUAAGCCUGGGAAACCGGGUCUAAUACUGGAUAUGACUCCAUGACGCAUGUUGUGGGGUGGAAAGCCUUGUGCGGCUGAGGAUGGGCCCGCGGCCUAUCAGCUUGUUGGGGGGUGAUGGCCUACCAAGGCGACGACGGGUAGCCGGCCUGAGAGGGCGACCGGCCACACUGGGACUGAGACACGGCCCAGACUCCUACGGGAGGCAGCAGUGGGGAAUCUUGCGCAAUGGGCGAAAGCCUGACGCAGCGACGCCGCGUGAGGGAUGACGGCCUGGUGUAAC
rnacentral:rRNA from 1 species